UCGCAAGCCUUCCAGCAUGGCUGGGUCUUAUCUGUGACCUUGAUCAUUCCUGUAGUGCUUGCAACAGAAGACCUAGAUGGUUUGAGGCCUCGCCCUGCUCCCACUUUGGGGCGAGGUUAUAGAAAUCUCAAGACAAGG